UACGUAGGUGCCAAGCGUUGUCCGGAUUUACUGGGCGUAAAGAGCGCGCAAGCGGUCGAUCAAGUCGAGUGUGAAAGCCCCCGGCUCAACUGGGGAGGGUCAUUCGAUACUGCUCGACUCGAAGGCAGGAGAGGGUAGUGGAAUUCCCGGUGUAGUGGUGAAAUGCGUUGAUAUCGAUAGGAACGCCGGGGGCGAAGGCGGCAUACUGGUCCACUACUGACGCUGAGGCGCGAAAGCCAGGGGAGCAAACGGG
rnacentral:rRNA from 1 species